CUCCCUUCUCUCUUUCCCAGGAUCCCGUUCAAGAUCGGGCAGCCCAAGAAACAGAUUGUACCCAAGACAGUGGAGAGAGACUUUGAGAGGGAAUAUGGGAAGCUGCAGCAGCUGGAAGAGCAGACCAAAAAGCUUCAGAAGGACAUGAAGAAAAGCACAGACGCAGAUUUGGGUACGUGAGCGCGGGAGGCGCAGGCUGCACUUGG